CCCGCUGAACUUAAGCAUAUCAAUAAGCGGAGGAAAAGAAACCAACAGGGAUUGCCUCAGUAACGGCGAGUGAAGCGGGAACAGCUCAAAUUUGAAAUCUGGCGCCUCUCUGCCGUCCGAGUUGUAGUUUAUAGAAGCGGCGUCCGCGCCGGAUCGUGCACUAGUCUCCUGGCAUGGAGCGGCGUAAAAGGCGAGAAUCCCGCCGUUGGCCUGCAUCCCUGGUGCUUCUGUGAUGCGCUCUCAGAGAGUCGAGAUGGCUGCUAAUGCUGCUCAGAAUGUGUGGUGAACUCCAUCUUAUGGUAAAUAUUGGCGAGAGACCGAUAGCGAACGAGCACCGUGUGGGAAAGAUGAUGAGCACUUUGGAAAGAGAGAGAAACAAUUCGUGAAAUUGUUGAACGGGAAACGCUAGAUGUCCGUCGCCUCUACUGAGACUCAUCCUUGCCUUGGCUCGGUGGACCUCUCGGCCCGACCGGUCACCAUCGAUUUUGCCCCUCCGAGAAUGGCAAGGGAAAGGUGGCACCUUUACGGGUGUGUUAUAGUCUCCUGUAACAUGCGAGGGGUGGGAUUGAGGAACUCAGCGCGCGCCUCGGUGUCGCGGCUUCGGCCCACGUUCACGUGCUUAGGAUGUUGGCGUAAUGGCUGUAAACGACCCGUCUUGAAACACGG
rnacentral:rRNA from 1 species